rnacentral:lncRNA from 1 species
AGCUAAAAUCCUCUAGGGUGGCCGACCUCUUAGAGAGAAAGGGAGAGACAUUGUGUUCUCAUCUUUUCUCUAAAAGAAACCCUAAUGAAGAAAAGGCUAUAAAGUCAUACUUAUACCUACCUUCAUUGGAGUGGCAAACUUGUAAUAAGUCCAAAACCCACUCCUUUAUCAAUAUGGCCGGCCAUAGGGUGUUAUUGGGCUGUUUAGGCCUUUGUGAAUAUUUCGUCAUUAAGUUGUCAUACAACUUAAGUCAAUGGGCUUGACGUUCGAAGCCCAUUGGGCCUUGAGGCCCAAAAUUAACCCUAGGUCUUUAACGAACUUUAUUCGUUUGAUUAAUUAACAUAUUA